GACGAACGCUGGCGGCGUGCCUAAUACAUGCAAGUAGAACGCUGAAGGAGGAGCUUGCUUCUCCGGAUGAGUUGCGAACGGGUGAGUAACGCGUAGGUAACCUGCCUGGUAGCGGGGGAUAACUAUUGGAAACGAUAGCUAAUACCGCAUAAGAGUAGAUGUCGCAUGACAUUUGCUUAAAAGGUGCAACUGCACCACUACCAGAUGGACCUGCGUUGUAUUAGCUAGUUGGUGAGGUAACGGCUCACCAAGGCAACGAUACAUAGCCGACCUGAGAGGGGGAUCGGCCACACUGGGACUGAGACACGGCCCAGACUCCUACGGGAGGCAGCAGUAGGGAAUCUUCGGCAAUGGACGGAAGUCUGACCGAGCAACGCCGCGGGAGUGAAGAAGGUUUUCGGAUCGUAAAGCUCGGUUGUAAGAGAAGAACGAGUGUGAGAGUGGAAAGUUCACACUGUGACGGUAUCUUACCAGAAAGGGACGGCUAACUACGUG
rnacentral:rRNA from 1 species